UACGUAGGGUGCAAGCGUUUAUCCGGAAUUAUUGGGCGUAAAGAGCUCGUAGGCGGUUUGUCGCGUCUGCUGUGAAAACCGGAGGCUCAACCUCCGGCCUGCAGUGGGUACGGGCAAACUAGAGUGCGGUAGGGGAGAUUGGAAUUCCUGGUGUAGCGGUGGAAUGCGCAGAUAUCAGGAGGAACACCGAUGGCGAAGGCAGAUCUCUGGGCCGUAACUGACGCUGAGGAGCGAAAGCGUGGGGAGCGAACAGG
rnacentral:rRNA from 1 species